rnacentral:rRNA from 1 species
GGCGGACGGGUGAGUAACAUUUAGGAAUCUGCCUAGUAGUGGGGGAUAGCUCGGGGAAACUCGAAUUAAUACCGCAUACGACCUACGGGUGAAAGGGGGCGCAAGCUCUUGCUAUUAGAUGAGCCUAAAUCAGAUUAGCUAGUUGGUGGGGUAAAGGCCCACCAAGGCGACGAUCUGUAACUGGUCUGAGAGGAUGAUCAGUCACACCGGAACUGAGACACGGUCCGGACUCCUACGGGAGGCAGCAGUGGGGAAUAUUGGACAAUGGGGGCAACCCUGAUCCAGCCAUGCCGCGUGUGUGAAGAAGGCCUUUUGGUUGUAAAGCACUUUAAGCAGGGAGGAGAGGCUAAUGGUUAAUACCCAUUAGAUUAGACGUUACCUGCAGAAUAAGCACCGGCUAACUCUGUGCCAGCAGCCGCGGUAAUACAGAGGGUGCGAGCGUUAAUCGGAAUUACUGGGCGUAAAGCGAGUG